rnacentral:rRNA from 1 species
AGUGCGGGAGGAGUGGGGGAACGGGUGAGUACCACUGGGAAAUUUUCCCUAUCAGUGGGGGAUAACAUUUGGAAACGGAUGCUAAUACGCCAUACAUUCUCGAACCGCAUGGUUCCUGAAAGAAAGACGGCUUUGCUGUCGUUUAUAGAUGAUCCCGCGGCGUAUUAGUUAGUUGGUGGGGUAAAGGCCUACCAAGACAAUGAUACGUAGCCGACCUGAGAGGGUGAUCGGCCACACUGGGACUGAGACACGGCCCAGACUCCUACGGGAGGCAGCAGUAGGGAAUCUUCCACAAUGGGCGAAAGCCUGAUGGAGCAAUGCCGCGUGAAUGAAGAAGGUCUUCGGAUCGUAAAGUUCUGUUAUUAGAGAAGAACAAGUCAAGGAGUAACUGUCUUGACUUUGACGGUACCUAACCAGAAAGUCACGGCUAACUACGUGCCAGCAGCCGCGGUAAUACGUAGGUGACGAGCGUUGUCCGGAAUUAUUGGGCGUAAAGGGAGCGCAGGCGGUUGGAAUAGUCUGAUGUGAAAGCCCACGGCUUAACCGUGGAAGGUCAUUGGAAACUGUCCAACUUGAAUGCAGAAGAGGAAAGUGGAAUUCCAUGUGUAGCGGUGAAAUGCGUAGAUAUUUGGAGGAACACCAGUGGCGAAGGCGACUUACUGGUCUGUAAUUGACGCUGAGGCUCGAAAGCGUGGGUAGCAAACAGGAUUAGAUACCCUGGUAGUCCACGCCGUAAACGAUGAGUGCUAAGUGUUAGGGGGUUUCCGCCCCUUGUGCUGGAGU